UAGGGGGCGUAACUUCCACUGGUCUUCUCAUAGACUCCCCAGCAAUCCACUGGGGAGUCUGGGAGAAGAGCAGUGGAAGUUACGCCCCCUCCUUCUGA